UACGUAGGGGGCAAGCGUUAUCCGGAUUUACUGGGUGUAAAGGGAGCGUAGACGGCAAGGCAAGUCUGAUGUGAAAACCCAGGGCUUAACCCUGGGACUGCAUUGGAAACUGUCUGGCUCGAGUGCCGGAGAGGUAAGCGGAAUUCCUAGUGUAGCGGUGAAAUGCGUAGAUAUUAGGAAGAAUACCAGUGGCGAAGGCGGCUUACUGGACGGUAACUGACGUUGAGGCUCGAAAGCGUGGGGAGCAAACAGG
rnacentral:rRNA from 1 species